CAAACUGAUCAAAAGUAAAACAAAAUUCAAAACUCUCUCUCUCUCUCUCUCCCCAACUAGCCGUUCUUCUUUACCGGCGGCGUCUCCAUCGGCGAGGACCUUUCCCCCAACUCAACCAGCCACAUCUCUCUGAUUGCCGUCUCCACCGGCGACGGAACGAAGUUUAAGUUUUCUGAUUAUUUUUUUUCCUUGUUUUUUUUUACAUGAGGCACGAUCUUCUUCUUUUCUUUCUUUUUUUUUACAUAUUUUUUGUUCUGGGUUCGAUUUAGUUCGCGGGUGGAAGAUGAAAGAGGGUGGCGUUGGGUGAUUAAGUUAACCGGCCGUCCAAGCAUUUUGACUCUCUGGGCAUCAAGAAGGGAAUUGUAUGAUGAGCUGCAAGAGUCACUUUACGAAUUCUUGGAAGCAAAGGGAUGAGUUGCAAGAGCCACAGCAUUCAAAAAAUAUAAUAUAGCUUGUCUUUCAAAAAAUAUAAUAUAGCUUGUCUUUUUUGUAAUUGACUUAUGUACCUAUACUUUGAGUUAUAACUUAUCUAUUUUAAUCUUUUAGCUUAACA